CAGCAGCCGCGGUAAUACGAAGGGUGCAAGCGUUAAUCGGAAUUACUGGGCGUAAAGCGCACGUAGGCGGAUCGAUCAGUCAGGGGUGAAAUCCCAGAGCUCAACUCUGGAACUGCCUUUGAUACUGUCGAUCUGGAGUAUGGAAGAGGUGAGUGGAAUUCCGAGUGUAGAGGUGAAAUUCGUAGAUAUUCGGAGGAACACCAGUGGCGAAGGCGGCUCACUGGUCCAUUACUGACGCUGAGGUGCGAAAGCGUGGGGAGCAAACAGGAUUAGAUACCCCGGUAGUCCCUGUCUCUUAUAC
rnacentral:rRNA from 1 species